CAAGCGGGCUGGACAGCCGCGCAGGCGGGGCGAAAGGCCCGUCUGUGAGGAAAGUCCGGGCUCCACAGGGCAGGGAUAACGGGUAACACCCGCCGGGGGCGACCCUAGGAAAAGUGCAACAGAAAUAGACUACCGCCCCGCCAUGGGGCGGCAAAGGUGGAAAGGUGAGGUAAGAGCUCACCCGAUGGCGUGUGAAAGCGCCCAUCGCUGUAAACUCUAUCCGGAGCAACGCCGUGGAGGGACGCAUAGGCCGGCCCGGCCGUCCCGGGGAGGCGGCUUGAGCGCGUUGGCAACAGCGCGUCGAGAUAGAUGGCUGUCUUAAAAGACAGAACCCGGCUUACAGGCCCGCUUGUACC
rnacentral:RNase_P_RNA from 1 species